rnacentral:ncRNA from 2 species
CCGCACGACACGGGGUGCGUCCCGACGUCGCCGACCGGGUCCCCGACCCGUCCGGCGCCAGGGGCGCUGAGAGCACACCCGUCGAACCUGAUCUAGCUCGUACUAGCGAAGGGAUGUCGACAUGAGUGCGC